rnacentral:rRNA from 1 species
UGUGAUUAGUGGCGAACGGGUGAGUAACACGUGAGUAACCUGCCCCUGACUCUGGGAUAAGCGUUGGAAACGACGUCUAAUACUGGAUAUGAUCACUGGCCGCAUGGUCUGGUGGUGGAAAGAUUUUUUGGUUGGGGAUGGACUCGCGGCCUAUCAGCUUGUUGGUGAGGUAAUGGCUCACCAAGGCGACGACGGGUAGCCGGCCUGAGAGGGUGACCGGCCACACUGGGACUGAGACACGGCCCAGACUCCUACGGGAGGCAGCAGUGGGGAAUAUUGCACAAUGGGCGAAAGCCUGAUGCAGCAACGCCGCGUGAGGGAUGACGGCCUUCGGGUUGUAAACCUCUUUUAGUAGGGAAGAAGCGAGAGUGACGGUACCUGCAAAAAAAGCACCGGCUAACUACGUGCCAGCAGCCGCGGUAAUACGUAGGGUGCAAGCGUUGUCCGGAAUUAUUGGGCGUAAAGAGCUCGUAGGCGGUUUGUCGCGUCUGCUGUGAAAUCCCGAGGCUCAACCUCGGGCUUGCAGUGGGUACGGGCAGACUAGAGUGCGGUAGGGGAGAUUGGAAUUCCUGGUGUAGCGGUGGAAUGCGCAGAUAUCAGGAGGAACACCGAUGGCGAAGGCAGAUCUCUGGGCCGUAACUGACGCUGAGGAGCGAAAGCGUGGGGAGCGAACAGGAUUAGAUACCCUGGUAGUCCACGCCGUAAACGUUGGGCGCUAGAUGUAGGGACCUUUCCACGGUUUCUGUGUCGUAGCUAACGCAUUAAGCGCCCCGCCUGGGGAGUACGGCCGCAAGGCUAAAACUCAAAGGAAUUGACGGGGGCCCGCACAAGCGGCGGAGCAUGCGGAUUAAUUCGAUGCAACGCGAAGAACCUUACCAAGGCUUGACAUACACCGGAAACGGCCAGAGAUGGUCGCCCCCUUGUGGUCGGUGUACAGGUGGUGCAUGGUUGUCGUCAGCUCGUGUCGUGAGAUGUUGGGUUAAGUCCCGCAACGAGCGCAACCCUCGUUCUAUGUUGCCAGCGCGUUAUGGCGGGGACUCAUAGGAGACUGCCGGGGUCAACUCGGAGGAAGGUGGGGAUGACGUCAAAUCAUCAUGCCCCUUAUGUCUUGGGCUUCACGCAUGCUACAAUGGCCGGUACAAAGGGCUGCGAUACCGUAAGGUGGAGCGAAUCCCAAAAAGCCGGUCUCAGUUCGGAUUGAGGUCUGCAACUCGACCUCAUGAAGUCGGAGUCGCUAGUAAUCGCAGAUCAGCA